GCCUAGCUGGCUCAGUGGUAGAGCAUGUGACUUUUUAUCUCAGGGUAGUGAGUUCAAGCCUCAGUUGGUCA
rnacentral:tRNA from 1 species